UACGUAGGGUGCAAGCGUUGUCCGGCAUUAUUGGGCGUAAAGAGCUCGUAGGCGGUUUGUUGCGUCGGCUGUGAAAUCCCGAGGCUCAACCUCGGGUCUGCAGUCGAUACGAGCAAACUAGAGUGUUGCAGGGGAGACUGGAAUUCCUGGUGUAGCGGUGAAAUGUGUAGAGAUCGGGAGGAACACCGGUGGCGAAGGCGGGUCUCUGGGCAUUUCCUGACGCUGAGGCGCGAAAGCGUGGGGAGCAAACGGG
rnacentral:rRNA from 1 species